GUGCCGUUGGUGUAGGGGUAACAACCUCAUCUUUCAGUGGUCUGAUGAGGAUUUAGGUUGAGUCUUGGGUUCAACUCCCAGACGGCGCG